rnacentral:rRNA from 1 species
UACGGAGGGGGCUAGCGUUGUUCGGAAUUACUGGGCGUAAAGCGCACGUAGGCGGCUUUGUAAGUUAGAGGUGAAAGCCCGGGGCUCAACUCCGGAAUUGCCUUUAAGACUGCAUCGCUUGAGUUGUGGAGAGGUAAGUGGAAUUCCGAGUGUAGAGGUGAAAUUCGUAGAUAUUCGCAGGAACACCAGUGGCGAAGGCGGCUCACUGGACCACAACUGACGCUGAGGUGCGAAAGCGUGGGGAGCAAACAGG